UAACAAGUCAGACAUCCAGCAGGUGCCCGC
rnacentral:piRNA from 1 species